UAUAAUUUGCUUGGUUAUGUGUGUGUCCAUGUGAUACAUGCAAGUGAUUUUGAAGUGGGCAGACAUGCAAUGAUUUGAAAUGCUAAUUUUUAAAAACUGAAACAAAACAAAUGAUAGCGUUGUUCACCUGUUGUUUUAAAAAAAAAACAUCUUAAGAAACAUUUCAAUAAAAGUCAUAUAUGUUUCUAUUUCAUUUACAAAAGUACCAAAACAAAACCCAUAAGACUAGAUUUACAGAAGGGCUAGUGAGUGAAGAGACACAACAGUAAGACUAGGAAGGUUUAAGGUUACACACACUAUCACGUGGCGGUAAAGUCCAUGGAAGGAUCAGGUGGGAGAACAAAGGAGAGAAGAUUUGGAGUCCAUCAAAAAUGAAUACAUAUAAAACAUAAAAAACAUGAUGAAUGUAAAUUGCCAACACAAGUUCUAAAGUGUCAUGUUAUCAAAAAAUAUACUGUCAAGUGUUCUAGAACAGGGCAAUUUGAGAGGGGAUUGUUUGGUCAGGGAAAACUAAUUCUGAAUAAUCAGCUACAUCCUCUACUUCAGGGCUGUCCAACUCUCUUCCUGGAGAUCUACAGUCCAGUAGGUUCAGUCCAACCCUCUUCCUGGAGAUCUACUGUCCAGUAGGUUCAGUCCAACCCUCUUCCUGGAGAUCUACUGUCCAGUAGGUUCAGUCCAACCCUCUUCCUGGAGAUCUACUGUCCAGUAGGUUCAGUCCAACCCUCUUCCUGGAGAUCUACUGUCCAGUAGGUUCAGUCCAACCCUCUUCCUGGAGAUCUACUGUCCAGUAGGUUCAGUCCAACCCUCUUCCUGGAGAUCUACUGUCCAGUAGGUUCAGUCCAACCCUCUUCCUGGAGAUCUACUGUCCAGUAGGUUCAGUCCAACCCUCUUCCUGGAGAUCAACUGUCCAGUAGGUUCAGUACAACACUCUUCCUGGAGAUCUACUGUCCAGUAGGUUCAGUCCAACCCUCUUCCUGGAGAUCAACUGUCCAGUAGGUUCAGUACAACCCUCUUCCUGGAGAUCUACUGUCCAGUAGGUUCAGUCCAACCCUCUUCCUGGAGAUCUACUGUCCAGUAGGUUCAGUCCAACCCUCUUCCUGGAGAUCUACUGUCCAGUAGGUUCAGUCCAACCCUCUUCCUGGAGAUCUACUGUCCAGUAGGUUCAUUCCAACCCUCUUCCUGGAGAUCUACUGUCCAGUAGGUUCAGUCCAACCCUUUUCCUGGAGAUCUACUGUCCAGUAGGUUCAGUCCAACCCUUUUCCUGGAGAUCUACUGUCCAGUAGGUUCAGUCCAACCCUUUUCCUGGAGAUCUACUGUCCAGUAGGUUCAGUCCAACCCUCUUCCUGGAGAUCUACUGUCCUGUAGGUUUUCAGUCCAACCCUCUUCCUGGAGAUCUACUGUCCAGUAGGUUCAGUCCAACCCUCUUCCUGGAGAUCUACUGUCCAGUAGAUUCAGUACAACCCUCUUCCUGGAGAUCUACUGUCCAGUAGGUUCAGUCCAACCCUCUCCCUGGAGAUCUACUGUCCUGUAGGUUUUCAGUCCAACCCUUUUCCUGGAGAUCUACUGUCCAGUAGGUUCAGUCCAACCCUCUUCCUGGAGAUCUACUGUCCAGUAGGUUCAGUACAACCCUCUUCCUGGAGAUCUACUGUCCAGUAGGUUCAGUCCAACCCUCUUCCUGGAGAUCUACUGUCCAGUAGGUUCAGUCCAACCCUCUUCCUGGAGAUCUACUGUCCAGUAGGUUCAGUCCAACCCUCUUCCUGGAGAUCUACUGUCCAGUAGGUUCAGUCCAACCCUCUUCCUGGAGAUCUACUGUCCAGUAGGUUCAGUACAACCCUCUUCCUGGAGAUCUACUGUCCAGUAGGUUCAGUCCAACCCUUUUCCUGGAGAUCUACUGUCCAGUAGGUUCAUUCCAACCCUCUUCCUGGAGAUCUACUGUCCAGUAGGUUCAGUCCAACCCUCUUCCUGGAGAUCUACUGUCCAGUAGGUUCAGUCCAACCCUCUUCCUGGAGAUCUACUGUCCAGUAGGUUCAGUCCAACCCUCUUCCUGGAGAUCUACUGUCCAGUAGGUUCAGUCCAACCCUUUUCCUGGAGAUCUACUGUCCAGUAGGUUCAGUCCAACCCUCUUCCUGGAGAUCUACUGUCCAGUAGGUUCAGUCCAACCCUUUUCCUGGAGAUCUACUGUCCAGUAGGUUCAGUCCAACCCUCUUCCUGGAGAUCUACUGUCCUGUAGGUUUUCAGUCCUACCCUAAUUUAGCAUAUCUGAUUCAGCUAGUUAAGAUCUUGUUGAGCAGCUAAUAAGUAGAAUCAGGUGUGUUAAAUUAGGGUUGGACUGAAAACCCACAGGACGGUAGAUCUCCAGGAAGAGGGAUGAACUGAAAACCUACAGGACAGUAGAUCUCCAGGAAGAGGGAUGAACUGAAAACCUACAGGACAGUAGAUCGCCAGGAAGAGGGUUGGGCAGCCCUGCUCUACUGCAUAUACAAAGAUGUCUGGAACAAUACCAAAUCAUGUGAAAACAAUCAAAUUAAAUGAAUACAUGAACAAAAGUGCUGUUAAUUUCUAUCAUAAAUUAUCUGGAAAAAUAAGAUCCCAAAACAGAAAACGGAUUGGGGCAAUGAUACUUGGCACACUUGAAGGUUUGGAGAAGAGGCCUGUUGUCUUAUCUUUAUACUACAACUCAUUUAUUUUGUGCAUUGACCCUAGCUGUUAAUUACAACCAGCAUACACUGCCAGCAUAACACUUGUAUAAUACCAUUGUCUACGUUAUUGUGCUGAUUAGGUCUUAAAGUGCAGUUAUGUGUCUUGAUAUCGCUUUAUGAUAUCUGACUAGUUGAAGGACACGUGAACAGGAUGAUAUCACACCAUGGAUCUGUCUAGUCCAGGAGUGGACAACUCCAGUCCUCUAGAGCCUGAUUGGUGUCACAAUUAUGCCCCAGCCCCAAGCUAACACACCUGACUCCAAUAAUCACCUAAUCAUGAUCUCCAGUUUAGAAUGCAAUGUGAUUAAUCAGCUGUGUGUGUUAGGGAUGGAGAAGAAGUGUGACACCAAUCAGGCCCUGGAGGACUGGAGUUGUCCACCCCUGGACAUACAGUAUAUAGGUAUAAUAACAGUAAGUACCUUUAAAUACUUGUGGUCUAUAGUUUAUAUUAUGAUAUGAAAAUGAUGUGCCGUAACUGUGUUAGUGCAAGUCAACAGGGUUGUUUUACGAGUGGUAAACGCCUCUUUCUUUCAUCCCUCAAUAUAAGGAAUGGUUCAUACUGAUGGUAUGACAUUCACUAUAGAUACUGUCCCAUGUCCCAUACUAUAGAUACUGCUCCAUGUCCCAUACUAUAGAUACUGCUCCAUGUCCCAUACUAUAGAUACUGUCCCAUGUCCCAUACUAUAGAUACUGUCCCAUACUAUAGAUACUGUCCCAUGUCCCAUACUAUAGAUACUGUCCCAUGUCCCAUACUAUAGAUACUGUCCCAUACUAUAGAUACUGUCCCAUACUAUAGAUACUGUCGCAUAUUAUAGAUACUGUCCCAUACUAUAGAUACUACUAUCCAUGUCCCAUACUAUAGAUACUGUCCCAUACUAUAGAUACUGUCCCAUACUAUAGAUACUGUCCCAUACUAUAGAUACUGUCCCAUACUAUAGAUACUGUCCCAUACUAUAGAUACUGUCCCAUGUCCCAUACUAUAGAUACUGUCCCAUACUAUAGAUACUGUCCCAUACUAUAGAUACUGAUACUGCAUACUAUAGAUACUGUCCCAUACUAUAGAUACUGCUCCAUGUCCCAUACUAUAGAUACUGUCCCAUACUAUAGAUACUGUCCCAUGUCCCAUACUAUAGAUACUGUCCCAUACUAUAUAUACUGUCCCAUGUCCCAUA